rnacentral:rRNA from 1 species
UUAAGCGACUAAGCGUACACGGUGGAUGCCCUGGCAGUCAGAGGCGAUGAAGGACGUGCUAAUCUGCGAUAAGCGUCGGUAAGGUGAUAUGAACCGUUAUAACCGGCGAUUUCCGAAUGGGGAAACCCAGUGUGUUUCGACACACUAUCAUUAACUGAAUCCAUAGGUUAAUGAGGCGAACCGGGGGAACUGAAACAUCUAAGUACCCCGAGGAAAAGAAAUCAACCGAGAUUCCCCCAGUAGCGGCGAGCGAACGGGGAGGAGCCCAGAGCCUGAAUCAGUGUGUGUGUUAGUGGAAGCGUCUGGAAAGGCGUGCGAUACAGGGUGACAGCCCCGUACACAAAAAUGCACAUACUGUGAGCUCGAUGAGUAGGGCGGGACACGUGGUAUCCUGUCUGAAUAUGGGGGGACCAUCCUCCAAGGCUAAAUACUCCUGACUGACCGAUAGUGAACCAGUACCGUGAGGGAAAGGCGAAAAGAACCCCGGCGAGGGGAGUGAAAAAGAACCUGAAACCGUGUACGUACAAGCAGUGGGAGCCUCUUAAUGGGGUGACUGCGUACCUUUUGUAUAAUGGGUCAGCGACUUAUAUUCUGUAGCAAGGUUAACCGAAUAGGGGAGCCGAAGGGAAACCGAGUCUUAACUGGGCGUUAAGUUGCAGGGUAUAGACCCGAAACCCGGUGAUCUAGCCAUGGGCAGGUUGAAGGUUGGGUAACACUAACUGGAGGACCGAACCGACUAAUGUUGAAAAAUUAGCGGAUGACUUGUGGCUGGGGGUGAAAGGCCAAUCAAACCGGGAGAUAGCUGGUUCUCCCCGAAAGCUAUUUAGGUAGCGCCUCGUGAAUUCAUCUCCGGGGGUAGAGCACUGUUUCGGCAAGGGGGUCAUCCCGACUUACCAACCCGAUGCAAACUGCGAAUACCGGAGAAUGUUAUCACGGGAGACACACGGCGGGUGCUAACGUCCGUCGUGAAGAGGGAAACAACCCAGACCGCCAGCUAAGGUCCCAAAGUCAUGGUUAAGUGGGAAACGAUGUGGGAAGGCCCAGACAGCCAGGAUGUUGGCUUAGAAGCAGCCAUCAUUUAAAGAAAGCGUAAUAGCUCACUGGUCGAGUCGGCCUGCGCGGAAGAUGUAACGGGGCUAAACCAUGCACCGAAGCUGCGGCAGCGACACUAUGUGUUGUUGGGUAGGGGAGCGUUCUGUAAGCCUGUGAAGGUGUACUGUGAGGUAUGCUGGAGGUAUCAGAAGUGCGAAUGCUGACAUAAGUAACGAUAAAGCGGGUGAAAAGCCCGCUCGCCGGAAGACCAAGGGUUCCUGUCCAACGUUAAUCGGGGCAGGGUGAGUCGACCCCUAAGGCGAGGCCGAAAGGCGUAGUCGAUGGGAAACAGGUUAAUAUUCCUGUACUUGGUGUUACUGCGAAGGGGGGACGGAGAAGGCUAUGUUGGCCGGGCGACGGUUGUCCCGGUUUAAGCGUGUAGGCUGGUUUUCCAGGCAAAUCCGGAAAAUCAAGGCUGAGGCGUGAUGACGAGGCACUACGGUGCUGAAGCAACAAAUGCCCUGCUUCCAGGAAAAGCCUCUAAGCAUCAGGUAACAUCAAAUCGUACCCCAAACCGACACAGGUGGUCAGGUAGAGAAUACCAAGGCGCUUGAGAGAACUCGGGUGAAGGAACUAGGCAAAAUGGUGCCGUAACUUCGGGAGAAGGCACGCUGAUAUGUAGGUGAAGUCCCUCGCGGAUGGAGCUGAAAUCAGUCGAAGAUACCAGCUGGCUGCAACUGUUUAUUAAAAACACAGCACUGUGCAAACACGAAAGUGGACGUAUACGGUGUGACGCCUGCCCGGUGCCGGAAGGUUAAUUGAUGGGGUUAGCGGUAACGCGAAGCUCUUGAUCGAAGCCCCGGUAAACGGCGGCCGUAACUAUAACGGUCCUAAGGUAGCGAAAUUCCUUGUCGGGUAAGUUCCGACCUGCACGAAUGGCGUAAUGAUGGCCAGGCUGUCUCCACCCGAGACUCAGUGAAAUUGAACUCGCUGUGAAGAUGCAGUGUACCCGCGGCAAGACGGAAAGACCCCGUGAACCUUUACUAUAGCUUGACACUGAACAUUGAGCCUUGAUGUGUAGGAUAGGUGGGAGGCUUUGAAGUGUGGACGCCAGUCUGCAUGGAGCCGGCCUUGAAAUACCACCCUUUAAUGUUUGAUGUUCUAACGUUGGCCCCUGAUCGGGGUUGCGGACAGUGUCUGGUGGGUAGUUUGACUGGGGCGGUCUCCUCCUAAAGAGUAACGGAGGAGCACGAAGGUUGGCUAAUCCUGGUCGGACAUCAGGAGGUUAGUGCAAUGGCAUAAGCCAGCUUGACUGCGAGCGUGACGGCGCGAGCAGGUGCGAAAGCAGGUCAUAGUGAUCCGGUGGUUCUGAAUGGAAGGGCCAUCGCUCAACGGAUAAAAGGUACUCCGGGGAUAACAGGCUGAUACCGCCCAAGAGUUCAUAUCGACGGCGGUGUUUGGCACCUCGAUGUCGGCUCAUCACAUCCUGGGGCUGAAGUAGGUCCCAAGGGUAUGGCUGUUCGCCAUUUAAAGUGGUACGCGAGCUGGGUUUAGAACGUCGUGAGACAGUUCGGUCCCUAUCUGCCGUGGGCGCUGGAGAACUGAGGGGGGCUGCUCCUAGUACGAGAGGACCGGAGUGGACGCAUCACUGGUGUUCGGGUUGUCAUGCCAAUGGCACUGCCCGGUAGCUAAAUGCGGAAGAGAUAAGUGCUGAAAGCAUCUAAGCACGAAACUUGCCCCGAGAUGAGUUCUCCCUGACUCCUUGAGAGUCCUGAAGGAACGUUGAAGACGACGACGUUGAUAGGCCGGGUGUGUAAGCGCAGCGAUGCGUUGAGCUAACCGGUACUAAUGAACCGUGAGGCUUAACCU